UACGUAGGGGGCAAGCGUUGUCCGGAAUCAUUGGGCGUAAAGAGCGUGUAGGCGGUCCGGUAAGUCGGUUGUGAAAGUCCAGGGCUCAACCCUGGGAUGCCGAUCGAUACUGUCGGACUAGAGUUCGGAAGAGGCGAGUGGAAUUCCCGGUGUAGCGGUGAAAUGCGCAGAUAUCGGGAGGAACACCAAUGGCGAAGGCAGCUCGCUGGGACGUUACUGACGCUGAGACGCGAAAGCGUGGGGAGCGAACAGG
rnacentral:rRNA from 1 species